rnacentral:misc_RNA from 1 species
CCGAGUUUACAACUCCCAAACCCCUGUGAACAUACCAAUUGUUGCCUCGGCGGAUCAGCCCGCUCCCGGUAAAACGGACGGCCCGCCAGAGGACCCCUAAACUCUGUUUCUAUAAUGUAACUUCUGAGUAAAAACCAUAAUAAAUCA